GUGGGGAAUAUUGGACAAUGGGCGAAAGCCUGAUCCAGCCAUGCCGCGUGUGUGAAGAAGGUCUUCGGAUUGUAAAGCACUUUAAGUUGGGAGGAAGGGCAGUAAGUUAAUACCUUGCUGUUUUGACGUUACCAACAGAAUAAGCACCGGCUAACUUCGUGCCAGCAGCCGCGGUAAUACGAAGGGUGCAAGCGUUAAUCGGAAUUACUAGGCGUAAAGCGCGCGUAGGUGGUUCAGCAAGUUGGAGGUGAAAUCCCCGGGCUCAACCUGGGAACUGACUCCAAAACUACUGAGCUAGAGUACGGUAGAGGGUAGUGGAAUUUCCUGUGUAGCGGUGAAAUGCGUAGAUAUAGGAAGGAACACCAGUGGCGAAGGCGGCUACCUGGACUGAUACUGACACUGAGGUGCGAAAGCGUGGGGAGCAAACAGGAUUAGAAACCCCUGUAGUCC
rnacentral:rRNA from 1 species